rnacentral:sRNA from 14 species
CUGGCUUCCUCCACGACUACUCAAACUGCUGCCGAACAAGACUGCGUUUCGUGCAAAAUUAUUGGCACCGGCAGUCUUUUUGGCAUCGGCUGCUACAUCAUUUUUGCUACAAGACCAGUGGGAUACUAUGCAACAAGACCAGUGACUCGUCAAAUCAUUCGAUCCUUAUCAGCAGUUCCAUUCUACGCGUCGGUUGCCCGCUGGUUCUACCUUCCUCCAUU